rnacentral:rRNA from 1 species
UACGUAGGUGGCAAGCGUUGUCCGGAUUUACUGGGCGUAAAGCGCGCGCAGGCGGUCCCUUAAGUCUGAUGUGAAAGCCCACGGCUCAACCGUGGAGGGUCAUUGGAAACUGGGGGACUUGAGUACAGAAGAGGAAAGCGGAAUUCCACGUGUAGCGGUGAAAUGCGUAGAGAUGUGGAGGAACACCAGUGGCGAAGGCGGCUUUCUGGUCUGUAACUGACGCUGAGGCGCGAAAGCGUGGGGAGCAAACAGG